rnacentral:rRNA from 1 species
CAGCAGCCGCGGUAAUACGAAGGGUGCAAGCGUUACUCGGAAUUACUGGGCGUAAAGCGUGCGUAGGUGGUGGUUUAAGUCCGUUGUGAAAGCCCUGGGCUCAACCUGGGAAUUGCAGUGGAUACUGGGUCACUAGAGUGUGGUAGAGGAUAGUGGAAUUUCCGGUGUAGCAGUGAAAUGCGUAGAGAUCGGAAGGAACAUCUGUGGCGAAGGCGGCCAUCUGGGACAACACUGACGCUGAGGCACGAAAGCGUGGGGAGCAAACAGGAUUAGAUACCCCGGUAGUCCCUGUCUCUUAUAC